UACGGGGGGAGCAAGCGUUGUUCGGAUUUACUGGGCGUAAAGGGCGCGUAGGCGGUCAGCACAAGUCAGUUGUGAAAUCUCCGGCUUAACCCGGAAAGGUCAACUGAUACUGUGCGACUAGAGUGCGGUAGAGGAGAGUGGAAUUCCUGGUGUAGCGGUGAAAUGCGCAGAUAUCAGGAGGAACACCGGUGGCGAAGGCGGGUCUCUGGGCCGUAACUGACGCUGGAGGAGCGGAAAGCGUGGGAGCGAACAG
rnacentral:rRNA from 1 species